AACGAACGCUGGCGGCAUGCCUAACACAUGCAAGUCGAACGAGACCUUCGGGUCUAGUGGCGCACGGGUGCGUAACGCGUGGGAACCUUCCUUUAUGUUCGGAAUAACUCAGAGAAAUUUGAGCUAAUACCGGAUGAUUUCUUCGGACCAAAGAUUUAUCGCCUUUGGAUGUGCCCGCGUUGGAUUAGCUAGUUGGUUGGGUAAAGGCCUACCAAGGCGACGAUCCAUAGCUGGUCUGAGAGGAUGAUCAGCCACACUGGGAGUGAGACACGGCCCAGACUAGUACGGGAGGAAGAAGUGGGGAAGAGUGGAAAAUGGGCGAAAGCAUGAUAAAGCAAUGCCGGGUGAGUGAUGAAGGAAGUAGGGUUGUAAAGCGCUUUUAAACGAGAUGAUAAUGACAGUAUCGGGAGAAUAAGCUCCGGCUAACUCCGUG
rnacentral:rRNA from 1 species